GUGGUGUAUGAAAGGAGAGAAGGUUAGCACUACCCUUGACAAGAAUAGAAGAGGCCCUUGGGCCUAACAACCCACAUAAUGUUAAGGCAUUGCCAACUACUUUGUGGUAUCUAACCACUGUUUUUA
rnacentral:ncRNA from 1 species